UACGGGGGGGGCAAGCGUUGUUCGGAAUUACUGGGCGUAAAGCGCGCGUAGGCGGUUACUCAAGUCGGAUGGGAAAGCCCUCGGCUUAACUGAGGAAGUGCACCCGAAACUGAGUAGCUAGAGUACUAAAGAGGGUCGCGGAAUUCCCGGUGUAGAGGUGAAAUUCGUAGAUAUCGGGAGGAACACCGGUGGCGAAGGCGGCGACCUGGGUAGAUACUGACGCUGAGGCGCGAAAGCGUGGGGAGCAAACAGG
rnacentral:rRNA from 1 species